UAUAUCGCUUAAACUUAAGAAAGAGAAUAUGCUGCCAGUGUUUCCUUUAUUUCCCUUGUUUCCCCAAAUCCCUUCCCCUUUCUCCCAAAACCCUAGCCGAUGCAAAAAUGUUUCUUAAAUCCCUUCUUCUGCUCUUCCCAAACCUUCACUACUGUUAGAUCUAAUCGCCGUUCAGCUCUCACCCGUGGCUGUUAAAGGACUUAGAGUUGAAAGUUGUGACCAUACCAUGAAAUUUUGGAAGAAGUUGGGGACUAUUCUGUGUGCCGUUGUGUUUGGAAGAUUUUUAUGACGGAUGUGAUUUCUUUCUCUGUAAAGAAGAGAAUUCGUUGAUCCUUCUUAGGGUCUUGGGACUCUUGUUUACACAUAUUUUACCUAGAAGAAAUUCGAUUAUCAGGCAUUUGGAGCCAAAUUCAAGACUUUUGGAGCGGAGCUGCUGGUUAUGUCGGGAGCUGACCCUGAAGAUGUUCGUACAUUCCGGAUAUAACUGUCACCUGUCCUUGGAGGCUUUAGAUUUCGUUAAUCUGUUUAUGUAGCGUUCAAACAGAUCGUGUAAUUAUUUGUAUCAGCUUUGUAAAUUCUAAGUCUUAGAAGCUCAUGAUUUAUACUAUCAGUUCUUGGGUUAAUUUGUAAAUGUCCAGAUAAUUCUUCACUAUUUUUCUAUAAUUUCAUUUGGAUUGUAUUGUUUGUUAGUUAGCUUACCUAGCGGGUCGAGUUAGGUUCCAUCACGACUAGUGAUUUUUGGGUCGUGACAAGUUUUCAUAACAAGAAUACCAGUUGCAGAGGCUACA